UGGGCAGAGGUUUGACUGGCAAGCAGCUCUGGGUGUACAUUUCAUCCAAGAGUCUCAUGGUGGUCGAAGGAGAUCCCCAGAUGCAAAAUCAAAGUUGCUUGGAUUUCCAUUUCUUCCCCAUCUAGGAAAAGGGCAAUGGAAUCAAAGCCUUUAAAAAAUGUAGUAAGAGAAAGACUCUCUAAUUGAUCAGAACCUUCUGGCAACCAGCACUUUGGCCCAUCUACUGAAAAAUACUUUAUCAGUGUCUUUAGUAAAGGCCCCCAAGAUGCACAAUACAUUUUUGGUUGUUGAAAUAGAGUGUCUUCUAAGUCAUCAAGUAAAAGAGAAAUUCUGCUCAGAAGACUUUUGGAUAGUACCCAACAUUUGGUGAGGCUUACUAUAUUACAUGCAUUACCUCGCUAAAUCACCACAUUAGAACACUUACAGGUUAUGACAAAACAAGAAGGCCCUUACAAGAUGCCAGCACCUUGAUCUUGAACUUCUCAGACUCCAGAACUGUAAGCCAAUAAAUUUCUGUUCUUCAUAAA
rnacentral:lncRNA from 1 species